CGGUACUGUAGCUAAUAUUUGCAGCUGAAGCCUGGAUAUUUCGAUUUACCAAUCAUUUAGGGAGCCGAAUUUGUAAAGUAGGAUACAAUUGACUAUAAUUAGAAGGGAUAAAUAAUAAACUAGGCUGUUGGGAGACAUAAGUAAGCGUUUAAAGAAGCCCAAAUAUUAGAAAUGAAAACUGGACAAAAUACUAUGUUUUUUCAACAGGUUAAACUCUCUCCUUGCUGGUCUCCCUGCUUCAGCUAUCUGCCCCCUUCAGCUCAUUCAAGAUAUUAUAGCAAACAGGCUGCAGGAACUGCAUGCUGGGACCUAAUUAGCAUAUGUCUGGAGCGGGGCAUGCUGGGACCGGGCGAUCGGACUUUCAAUCAGCUCUGAAGGACAAGUGGACUGUUGUGUUCCCUUUUCAGACGUCUACCCUGGAGUUAUUGUUUCUCUGCAGCUGUAUGGGUUAGAUGAUUAAAACUUGGUUGAUUU